AACAAAAGUUGCUUCCUCCAUCAAAACCCGCCGGAAGAAAAAAGCACUUCAAGCACAAAAAACACAGCCCCAGUGCAAUACACACACACACACACAAAACGUAACUCGAUCCAACAUCUUGAUUUACAAGAGAUACGAAAGACCCAUCAAACAUAAAGCAUAUUUUCUUUUGGGGUGGGAAGGCAGGUGGGGAUGCGGCGGCGG
rnacentral:lncRNA from 1 species